rnacentral:rRNA from 2 species
UCUCGGCAACGGAUAUCUCGGCUCUCGCAUCGAUGAAGAACGUAGCAAAAUGCGAUACCUGGUGUGAAUUGCAGAAUCCCGCGAACCAUCGAGUUUUUGAACGCAAGUUGCGCCCGAGGCCUUCGGGCCGAGGGCACGUCUGCCUGGGCGUCACGCCAA